rnacentral:rRNA from 1 species
UACAGAGGGUGCGAGCGUUAAUCGGAAUUACUGGGCGUAAAGGGUGCGUAGGUGGUUUAAUAAGUUAGCUGUGAAAGUCCCGGGCUUAACCUGGGGAUUGCGGCUAAUACUGUUGAGCUAGAGUCCUGUAGAGGGAGGUGGAAUUUCCGGUGUAGCGGUGAAAUGCGUAGAUAUCGGAAGGAACAUCAGUGGCGAAGGCGACCUCCUGGACAGAAACUGACACUGAGGCACGAAAGCAUGGGGAGCAAACAGG